rnacentral:rRNA from 1 species
GGUGACCUGCGGAGGGAUCAUUACAAGUGACCCUGGCCUCCGGGCCGGGAUGUUCAUAACCCUUUGUUGUCCGACUCUGUUGCCUCCGGGGCGACCCUGCCUUCGGGCGGGGGCCCCGGGUGGACAUAUCAAACUCUUGCGUAACUUUGCAGUCUGAGUAAAUUUAAUUAAUAAAUUAAAACUUUCAACAACGGAUCUCUUGGUUCUGGCAUCGAUGAAGAACGCAGCGAAAUGCGAUAAGUAAUGUGAAUUGCAGAAUUCAGUGAAUCAUCGAAUCUUUGAACGCACAUUGCGCCCCCUGGUAUUCCGGGGGGCAUGCCUGUUCGAGCGUCAUUUCACCACUCAAGCCUCGCUUGGUAUUGGGCGACGCGGUCCGCCGCGCGCCUCAAAUCGACCGGCUGGGUCUUCUGUCCCCUCAGCGUUGUGGAAACUAUUCGCUAAAGGGUGCCACGGGAGGCUACGCCGUAAAACAACCCCAUUUCUAAGGUUGACCUCGGAUCAGGUAGGGAUACCCGCUGAACUUAAGCAUAUC